rnacentral:rRNA from 1 species
GACGAACGCUGGCGGCGUGCCUAACACAUGCAAGUCGAGCGGAGAUAAGCGGAUGGUAACUGAAGUUUGUCUUAGCGGCGGACGGGUGAGUAACACGUGAGCAACCUGCCUUCAAGAGGGGGGAUAAUGUCUGGAAACGGACACUAAUACCGCAUAAAUCGUCUAAGCCGCAUGGCUAAGGACGGCAAAGGAGUAAUCCGCUUGAAGAUGGGCUCGCGUCUGAUUAGAUAGUUGGUGGGGUAAUGGCCUACCAAAGCGACGAUCAGUAGCCGACCUGAGAGGGUGAUCGGCCACAUUGGAACUGAGACACGGUCCAAACUCCUGCGGGAGGCAGCAGUGGGGAUAUUGCACAAUGGGCGGAAGCCUGAUGCAGGCAACGCCGCGUGAGCGAAGAAGGUCUUCGGAUCGUAAAGCUCUGUCCUGGGGGAAAAACAAAUGACGGUACCCCGGGAGGAACGCCCCGGCUAACUACGUGCCAGCAGCCGCGGUAAACAUAC